rnacentral:rRNA from 1 species
AACGAACGCUGGCGGCAUGCCUAACACAUGCAAGUCGAACGAGACCUUCGGGUCUAGUGGCGCACGGGUGCGUAACGCGUGGGAACCUGCCCUUAGGUUCGGAAUAACUCAGAGAAAUUUGAGCUAAUACCGGAUAAUGUCUUCGGACCAAAGAUUUAUCGCCUUUGGAUGGGCCCGCGUAGGAUUAGCUUGUUGGUGGGGUAAUGGCCUACCAAGGCGACGAUCCUUAGCUGGUCUGAGAGGAUGAUCAGCCACACUGGGACUGAGACACGGCCCAGACUCCUACGGGAGGCAGCAGUGGGGAAUAUUGGACAAUGGGCGAAAGCCUGAUCCAGCAAUGCCGCGUGAGUGAUGAAGGCCUUAGGGUUGUAAAGCUUUUUUACCAGGGAUGAUAAUGACAGUACCUGGAGAAUAAGCUCCGGCUAACUCCGUG